CAUUGUGGAUGGGGUGUCCAGAGCUUUGAACUUCUCCAGGUUGGAGGCUUUGGCUCUUCGUUUGUGGCUCAUCUCACUCGGUGCAGAGGCUUCCCCACGCGCCCAGCUUCCACCACGCCGGCGUGAAUAGCUCCCAUAUGGCCACUCACAGCAACGCAGGGACUUCUGGCUGGAUCCAGCUAUGCAAAGUCAGAAUGAUCUCCUGGUAGACCUACUGCUAUUUCUGUCUUGUUGCCAGGCACUUCAUGCUUCAGCUUUCAUCAGAUCAAUCUUCUACCUUUGAAAGAAAAGUAGCAGGUUAACCUGUGUGCGAGGGAAAUGGAAAACACUCCUCUGCCUCUCCCCAAUGUGCUGUGCAGGUGUAGAGGGGCUUAGAAAAAGUGAUAAAAGCAAUUAGUCAUCUGUGGAAUUGAAGGAGAAACACCAUCCAGCUCUGAAGUUUGCCUGGGGUCCCUGUAAGCCUAUUAAGAUGGGUUCGGUCAUUGGAUGGAGGCUUGGAAAGCGUGGACAGGGAAGUGAAUGUUUGUACUGGGUGGAUGUUACAGUCUUCUGCUGUUUUCUAGAGCCUUGUGUUAGACUUCUCGUGCCUGAACUCCCUGCUCCAAGGAGGUGAAGGAGCACCUACAAACUCCCCCCUGAGCUCCUCGUGGGCUGUGGCACGGGAGCUGCGGGUGGGAGGCCGAGGAGAAGCGGGGCUGGCGAGAGCAGCGGGUUCAGAAACUCUGGGGCAUCCCACUGCAAAGAAAAGCCACAAGAUGGAGCUCUGGGGCUUUCCACGGGAGCCGGGCUUGAUUCACGGUCCCUGUGGUGCCUCAGGAGCCCAUUCCCCACCGUGAUGUUCCCCAGCUGCUGCUGCUCGUGGUUCUCCUGCAUCUGCUGUUGACGGUUCCCGAUGUGAAGUUCACACCGCAGCAAAUGUGAAGUCAGCAGUACGCACCCACAAGGUGGAAACUUCAAGCAAAACAGGCAGCGAGGAACAGAGUGAGGAAGGAUGGAAACUGCCUGUGGGACUGUAUAGGAGACCCUCGUUUAACGUUGAUUAAAAAAUCUCCUAUGUCAUCUUAACUCUGCUUAUUAAGACCUGAAGAAUAUCAGCUCUCUCCUACCAGGAUUCUUACAAAAUGGGAAUUUGUUAUUCCUGCUUAAAGAAGCUGGGAAGUUGGCCCUUUUCGCUUGAGUACUGAGUUUCAGCAAAUUAAUUCAGAAGCCACCACAACCCAGAACACUUCAUCUCCUACUCUUCCCAGCCUAAUUCUCAAAUUCCUGAUUGAAUGCCGCUUUCUUGUGAAUUUCUGGCUUUGGUCUCCUGUUACACACUCAGAAUUAGCGGUGAAAACGUGGAUCCCAGUGAUUUCCAACAUACUUUUUUACACCACUGAAAUGCUAGAAGUGACUCUUGGACAAGAGGGCCAAAUCCCUGCCCUCAAUACAGCAAUAGCAUUUGGGGUGCCUCGACCAGACUCUCAUCGGCCAUUUGCCUUCAUAAAGGGUGUGUGUUUGUCAAUCUCAAAAGCUGCUGCAUCUCCUACAGCAUCAUCCAACGAUGCCAGGAAAACG